rnacentral:ncRNA from 1 species
UGGUGCGGCUACUUACAAGGGGCUUUCAGGAAGAAACUUGGAUUAAAGUGUUUAGUCCAAUUAAAACCUCUUUAACUGCUGGAACACCCUUAGAGCCUUUAAUACCAAAUCUAUAUGGAAACAUAAUAGAUGGCUGAAUAUAACAAUUCAGGUAUGGUAAAAAUUUAAAGGAUUGGGUAAUCAUAAGCAACCAAGUACCUAAGUUACAAAUUAUUUGUAAUAAGGUAAAGGUUCAACGACUAUCGAAACCACUCUAACAGAUCAUUACAAUAAUGCUAGUUAGUGGAAGGGAGUAGAGUACAGUCUAAGCGAUUGAGGCUGGAAAUGGGAGGCACUUUUUAAGUGAUGAUAUAGUCUCGUCUCUAAGGAAACUUAGAG